UAAACUUUAGGGUCCAAUAGUGUAUUUUGAUGCAUUUUUUUAUUGGACAAAUUUGUAAUACAAGUUUUUUUCUUUAGCUGUGUUCCCCAACCAUUUUCAAAAUUUUCAGUUGGGGGACUAGAAGAGGUUAGAAUGAAUUUCCUUAGCUGUAUUUUGGUUGGGGAAUUCUAAAAAGAUGAAUUUAGGAUGAAGGUGUCAUUUGAUCAUAGAUAAGUAUAUUGUAUUUCCUCGUAACAGUAAUUAUUAGUUGUGACUCCUUACCAAUGUUUAAAAAUCUUGAAAUUUUAUUCCCAUUGCAUCAUAAUUGAAAUCUCUAUCCUGUGAAGUUCACCUAUGUCUACAUGCUCAUUUUAGUUGUUGCCACUUUAUUUAUGCUAGGAUUCAUUCCUUAGACCGGAACAGAAGAAGCUAGAGCCACUACCAACAACCAAGUAAAAGAAAGGAGUUGAACAGUAGGCAUUCAAAGUGAUUUGAGGCUGUACCAAGGUCUGUUUUGCAUAAUGGAGGCUGUGGAUUGGGAAAAUUCUUCGGGAGGAUCAAGUGAUACUGAGGCCUAUUUGCAAGAUACAAAAUAUGAGGAUGAUGAGGAACUCCAUUUUACGUCUGGGUUUA